rnacentral:rRNA from 1 species
UGGGGAAUUUUGGACAAUGGGCGAAAGCCUGAUCCAGCAAUGCCGCGUGUGUGAAGAAGGCCUUCGGGUUGUAAAGCACUUUUGUCCGGAAAGAAAUCCUUGGCUCUAAUACAGUCGGGGGAUGACGGUACCGGAAGAAUAAGCACCGGCUAACUACGUGCCAGCAGCCGCGGUAAUACGUAGGGUGCAAGCGUUAAUCGGAAUUACUGGGCGUAAAGCGUGCGCAGGCGGUUUGCUAAGACCGAUGUGAAAUCCCCGGGCUCAACCUGGGAACUGCAUUGGUGACUGGCAGGCUAGAGUAUGGCAGAGGGGGGUAGAAUUCCACGUGUAGCAGUGAAAUGCGUAGAGAUGUGGAGGAAUACCGAUGGCGAAGGCAGCCCCCUGGGCCAAUACUGACGCUCAUGCACGAAAGCGUGGGGAGCAAAACAGGAUUAGAUACCCUGGUAGUCCACGCCCUAAAACGAUGUCAACUAGUUGUUGGGGAUUCAUUUCCUUAGUAACGUAGCUAACGCGUGAAGUUGACCGCCUGGGGAGUACGGUCGAAGAUUAAAACUUAAAUGAAUUGACGGGGUCAUAGCUG